rnacentral:lncRNA from 1 species
CGAGUCCUUUGUAGUUGCCGGAUGUUUUUGGCUGUAGACUCGGUUUAGAAGAACAUAAGCCGUGUACCCGAGAAAAAGCUCUCGGUUUAUAGUCUUUCACACGGCAAAACAUGAUUUUCCUGUAGUGGCCCUUGCCAAGAUAGAUUCUGAAGCUUCCGAACUAUCUCCUUGCAAUCCAUCUUAAUGUGUAUAUGUGCUGCAUUGACCUCAUCCGCCAGUUGGGCCGCCCUUUUGCACGCCAGUAGCUCCACCUUCGCCGGCUCCACCCCCUGCGAGAAAUAGUGACAUGGUUGCUUUGGUUUCCUUAAAAUUAUGCAAGCAAUGCAAAGUUAACAAAAUAUGCCUUAAUAGAAUUGAGAAUUGUGAAGUAAAAUCAGAAUACAUCUCCACUAAGACAUCUUUAAUGAAAACACAAUUUAUUACACAGAUCUCAUAUGCUUCUUUAAUUCUGGAUCAUCAACUUUAAUCAAGAUUUCCGUGAUGAAAAUAACAACCGCUCUCACAUCACACUUAAAUAUUGUAAAUAUAGUAUUGCAAUCUAAAACACAAUAUUGCAGCAGCAAUUUCGUUGACAUAGCUAUACUAUUGCUAGUUCGACGGAACAAAAGGAUAUACACCAGCGAGAAACAUGUACCAAAGGAACGGAAGUACCUUACUGUAGGUUAGAAUAAGUAGUGCAGCAAGGCUGGUGCCUUUUAUAGCACUGGCCAACCAUUUUUUAUUAGAGAUAGUAAGUAUCAAUUGAAAGGUGAUCUUAGAAUAUAGAGGCGAUGCAUUCGCAGUUACCUUCUAUGGGAAGUCAAUCCACGUAAAUUGGAUAAAAUAUUGUUCAUACUUCAUUCUGGACUUGAAUCAAGGAUAGGCUGCUACAGCUUUCUAGUAAAAACACAAUGCAACCCUAUUAAUAGUAGACUCAAUGAAGCAUCAAUCAUAUAAUUUGUUAGAUUUUUUGUAUGAUAAUAAUUGCUGCACGUCUUGACUAAUACAAAUACACUUGAAAUACGUAAUAACCUAGCAAAAAUCUAAGCCUAAAAAACAUAUGAUUUGCCCACUUUUGGUAUGUUUCAGACUUUGAUUUAAGAAUUCUUAAACAUACCCAUUCAUCUCCAAAAUUGAAUAAAAUUGACAAGCAUUCAUAGAUACAUGAACCUUCGUUUUGACGGUCUUGAUGGUCUUGUGAAUGCCUGAAAUACGAGCGGUGGCUGGACGAAAUGUGUUCACUGCAGCAUGGGAGCUAAUAAAUCACUCCAGCAGAUUAGUGCCAAACCUACCCCGCUUAUCCGUAGGCACAUGAGCAAGCAGAGCAUAGUGAUAUUCAGAUAGUGGUAGUGGGCAGAGAGAAGAUCAGACCGACCCACCCAAGCAAGCAAAGCCAGCGAGCCAUGGCGGAAGCAAAGGUGCACGGAGCGAACCCACAUGGCACCGGCGCCGGGGACGCUGUGUGCGGAGCUCCCAUCACCUUCUUCGACGACGUGUGCUGGCUCUUCACGGACCCUGUCGAGCGCCUCUUCUUCUACCGCCAGGUUGACCCGGCCGCCGCGUUCCCGCCGCACGCGCUCACCCGCUUCCUCCCGCUCGCCGGCAUCCUCAGCCCCGCCGCCCGCUGCUUCUCCUACUCCAGCGGCCACGAUGCGCUCGACCUCCACCUCCACUGGACGGAGGAGAGGGACCCCGCUGCUGCCGACGCAGUCAGGUCGCGCUGCGUCCCGCGCCGCCGCCGCUUCUCGGCGGAGGAGAGGAACCCCGCCGCCGACGAAGGGCCGAGCCCCCUGCGUCUCACGCCGCCGCCACCGCCGCUGCCUCUGCUCGACGGAGGAGAGGAACCCGGCCGCCGACGAAGGCCGAGCCCACUGUAUUUCACGCCGCCGCCGCUGCUUGAGGAAGGAGAGGGACCCCUGUGGCGGCGAGGAGGAGAGAGGAGGGAGGGAUGGGGACGAUGAGGCGGGGCAGGAUGAAACGUGGGCUCUCCUUUUUUU